rnacentral:rRNA from 1 species
UACGAAGGGGGCUAGCGUUGCUCGGAAUCACUGGGCGUAAAGCGCACGUAGGCGGAUUGUUAAGUCAGGGGUGAAAUCCUGGAGCUCAACUCCAGAACUGCCUUUGAUACUGGCGAUCUCGAGUUCGGGAGAGGUGAGUGGAACUGCGAGUGUAGAGGUGAAAUUCGUAGAUAUUCGCAAGAACACCAGUGGCGAAGGCGGCUCACUGGCCCGAUACUGACGCUGAGGUGCGAAAGCUAGGGUAGCAAACGGG